AUGCUAGCAAUUAUUGUACCCACAAUUAUACUUAUGCCAGUGACACGAUAUUCUAAAAAUUCUAAAAUUUGAAUUCACACAACUAUGCACUGCUUACUAAUUAGUUUCAUCAAAUUAUUCCUCUUAAGCCAAUUUAGUAAAAAUAACCUAAACUUUUCAUUAGUUUUUUUCUCCAACUCACUAUCAGCCUCCAUUUCAUUAUACUAACAAAUUGAUUACUUCCCCUAAUAAUUAUAGCAAGUUAACAUCAUCUCUCCAAAGAAUCAUAUAUAUGAAAAAGCUACAUAUUUCAAUAUUAAUCUUUCUACAUUUAUUCUUAAUCAUAACAUUUACUGCCACAGAACUAAAUCUAUUUUACAUUCUCUUUGAAGCAACACUAAUUCCAACUCUAAUUAUUAUUCUCUGAUAAGGAAACAAAAGAGAAUGAUUAAAUCCAGGGCUCUAUUUCCUGUUCUACACACUAAUUGGUUUUUUACCUCAACUCGUAUCAUUAAUUUUUAUCCAAAACUCCACAUACUCAUUACACUUUUUAAUAACCUGUUACUGUGUUCAAACUCAGCUCUUGACAUAAUAGUCUUUUAUGAUUAGCAUGCAUUAUAGCAUUUAUGGUCAAAAUACCCCUUUAUAGUUUCUAUCUCUGACUAACAAAGUACACACAGAAACUCCAAUUGCUGAAUCCACAGUUUUUGCAGCCAUAAAAUUAGCAGGCUUUAAUAUAAUACGAAUUACUAUAAUUCCAAACCCACUAAUGGAAUAUAUAGCUUAUCCAUUUCAUAUAGUAUCCCCGUGAUGAAUAAUUAUAACACACUCUAUUUGUUUACACCAAAUAGACUUAAAAUCACUUAAUCACUUAUCACAUAUUCAUCCAUAAAUCAUAUAGCACUAACAUUUAUAGCCAUUUUCAUCCAAGCUCAACGAAUUUUUAUAGGAGCCAUAACCCUAAUAAUUGCCCAUGCCCUCACCUCAUCCAUACUAUUCUUCAUCACAAACUCAAAUUAUGAAUGAAUUUAUAGCUGAAAUAUGCUCUUCAUUCAAGGACUGCAGACAUUACUCCCUUUAAUAACAACAUGAUGAGUAUUAGCUAGCCUAACCAAUCUAGCCCUACCACCAACCAUCAACCUAAUCAGAGAACUAUGUGUAGUCACAGCACCAUUUUCAUGAUUUAAUUUUACCAUUAUUAUUAAUAGGACUUAAUAUAUUAAUUAUAGCCUAAUAUUCCCUCUGCAUAUUAAUUACAAUGCAACAAGGAAAAUUUACCAAUCACAUUAAUAAAUUAGCCAUCACUCACAUUAGAAAAUGCUUUAUACAUCUACCUCUGCUACUCCUAUCACUUAAUGACAAAAUUAUUCUAGGACCUACAUACUGUUUUUAA
rnacentral:lncRNA from 1 species